rnacentral:rRNA from 1 species
UCGAGGGGCAGCGGGUAGAUGAGCUUGCUCAUUUAUGCCGGCGACCGGCGCACGGGUGAGUAACACGUAUGCAACCUGCCCGUCUCAGGGGGAUAAUCGUCGGAAACGGCGUCUAAUACCCCGUAUGAAGCUGGACGGCAUCGUCUGGUUUUGAAAGAAUAUCGGAGACGGAUGGGCAUGCGGCGCAUUAGCUGGUUGGCGGGGUAACGGCCCACCAAGGCGACGAUGCGUAGGGGUUCUGAGAGGAAGGUCCCCCACACUGGUACUGAGACACGGACCAGACUCCUACGGGAGGCAGCAGUGAGGAAUAUUGGUCAAUGGGCGAGAGCCUGAACCAGCCAAGUCGCGUGAGGGAGUACUGCCCUAUGGGUUGUAAACCUCUUUUGUCGGGGAGCAAAAGCCGGACGUGUCCGGCUGUGAGAGUACCCGAAGAAAAAGCAUCGGCUAACUCCGUGCCAGCAGCCGCGGUAAUACGGAGGAUGCGAGCGUUAUCCGGAUUUAUUGGGUUUAAAGGGUGCGCAGGCGGAUUUUUAAGUCAGCGGUCAAAUCGUGGGGCUCAACCCCAUCCAGCCGUUGAAACUGGGGAUCUAGAGUGUGCGAGAGGUAUGCGGAAUGCGUGGUGUAGCGGUGAAAUGCAUAGAUAUCACGCAGAACCCCGAUUGCGAAGGCAGCAUACCGGUGCACAACUGACGCUCAGGCACGAAAGCGUGGGUAUCGAACAGGAUUAGAUACCCUGGUAGUCCACGCAGUAAACGAUGAAUGCUACCUGUUUGGCCUGAUUGAAGGCUG